rnacentral:lncRNA from 1 species
UUUGGGUUGAUUUGGUUCUAUCUUUUUGUAGGGUAUAGUAAUUGUUAUUAAGUAUGAAUUGUAUUAAUUUUUUAUAUUUUUUUAAAGUUUUUUUUGAAUUGUAAAACAUGGCUAUUUGAAAGAAAAUUUGGGAAAAUAGCAAAAUCAAAAAAUGGUGAGCCAAAAAUGAAUCCCAUAAAUUAAAGAAUCGCACAAAGUUUUUUUUUCUUUUUUCUUUCAGUUACACAUGUUAUUUAAAAGUUCAAACAUAUCAAAGGAAGACAAUAUUUUUUAAACAGCAUGCAAUACAUACACCAUAGUUAAAAAAAACAAAAAAAAAACACAUACCAUAGUCACAGUGAUCCUCUUUUGUUUUGUUAGGAUUUACCGUUUUCUAGUAUAACGUCAUUAGGAAGCACGCGAUGAUGGCCAAUGACAUGAACUCCGUUAAACAACAAGUAGGAUUAUCUGCUUUUUGCCAAAUAUUACAAAAAUGGUGAUGUAUGCAAAUGCAAGAUGAAUUAUUAUUCCAAUGCCAUUUACG